GUAUUCAGACAAUCGCUGGUCUAUUCCAGAGGAAAGUCCAUGCUCACACAUCCUGAGACGGAUGUAGUGUUUAUGCUAAGCGAAACGACAAGCUUAGGCAGCUAUAUGCUGACGGCUGGUUAAUUCCUAAAGGCUCGUGCCCAUGGAAAGCGCCUGUAAAAGUGUCAAAGAGACGAGUCAUUCAGAAAUGGAUGAGUGGAACGUGAUAAACCCCAUAAGUGAGAAACCCAAAUUAUGGUAGGGGAACCUGCAAUAGCGAAAUAAAGCGAUGUGCGGGGCACGCAAGUGCAGAUAAAUGAUUGUCCAGUACAGAACAUGGCUUAUUGAA
rnacentral:RNase_P_RNA from 1 species